GCUGGGCAUGGUGGCGCAUGCCUGUAAUCCCAGCCACUCGGGAGGCUGAGGCAGGAGAAUUGCCUGAACCCAGGAGGGGGAGGUUGCGGUGAGCCGAGAUCGCACCAUUGCACUCCAGCCUGGGUAACAGAGCGAAACUCUGCCUCAA
ensembl:misc_RNA Metazoa_SRP Metazoan signal recognition particle RNA